rnacentral:lncRNA from 1 species
CUCAAGAAGGAAGUAAGCUAGCAAAGAACUAAUGGAAAGCAAGCUUGAUCUUUAAUGAAAAUGGUGGAAAGGAAAAAUUUAUGAAGAUGGGGUUUAAGAGAGGAGAAGCCACGGCAAAGAGAAGAAGAAAGGAGAAAGAAAAAUGAUCUUUUGAUUUUGGCUAAGUACAAAAAGCAAUAAGACCUUCCUUCACAAGUAAAGCCUAGGCAUUCCCUAGCCAUUGGAUCAAAAAGCAAAUUGAAUCCUCACCAUUAGAUCUUUUACUUUUGUGACAAAGAUAUUUUCAUAAAGUUUAGAGAUUAAAACCCUCCACAGACGAGUCGCGUU